CCUCAUCAGCUUUCCAAACUACAACUGAUUCCAAUUUCCGACGGACAGUGAAGCACGGGUACUUUGAAAUUGGCUACGCACCCGCACCGGGUACGUACCGGGUACCGGUACUCCGUGGGUACGCCAUGGGUACUUUGAAACCAUGUGUUUUUUUUUUACAAGCUUUACCAUGUGUUUGAAUUGUUAUUAUAUGCAAGAUAUAUGAAUAUUGAGAGAUUUGAUAUGUAAUUAAUAAUAUUAUGUAACAUAGAUUAUUUGAUAUCUAUUUUUUUACUUCACUAUAUAUAUAUUUAUAUAUAUUUUUAAUAUAUAUAUUAACGUACCUAUAACGUACCCGUACCUAGGAUUUUCUAAAAAUGCCGUACCUCGUACCCGGUACCGUACCCGUACCCGGUACCGCACCCGUACCUGUGCAUCCUAGCCGACGGAUCAUUGCACCCGAAAUUCCAAUUCCUCUGUCAUUUCAUCUGGGUAGCUCAAUAAUCGAAGGAAAUCGACGGUUUGGAACAUCGACGAAUUUUUCUGGCUUACGGCAACCUCCUCGAUCUACUUCGCCGGCCGGUCAUUGGCACUCGCUGCUACUUGCUUCUGUGUUUUCGGCGUUGGAAAGGUACCUUCGAUUCCCUCACAAUUUCGUUCUAUUAGAUUCUUCGGGAACACGGUGAGGUGAUUCUCUCUGCUGGUGCGAUUGGAAGCCCUCAGCUUCUUCUUCUUAGUGGGAUUGGACCGAGAUCUUACCUUUCUUCAUGGGGGAUUCCAGUGGCUUAUCAUCUUCCCUAUGUUGGACAAUCCUCGCAAUGGAAUCACUAUUAUGAAUUAUCCCUUCACUUCCACUGAAGUAUUCUCUCAUACAGAUAUGCAGUGCUUUGUUUCAGAACUGAUUAACCCCCUAUGUUAUACGUUUUGUUUGGCCAGUGGUUGGUUAACCCCCUAAAAACAGGUAUAUGCAAGUGGUCGAAAUUGUUAGUAAAGGAACUAGCUGCAGCAAUUUGGACACGAGAAACCUGGUGGCAAUGCUGGUAUACUGCAGCAAGUGUUGAGGCAGUUCUAAUUAAAAAAAGGUAUCAUUGCAGGGCUGCUACUUAAGAUUCACUUUGCUGUGUGUUCGAUUUCAAAUAGAAGCUUGAAGUGUUUCAGAAGAACUGAUUAACUCUGGAAGCAGCUCUAAUUCUACCAUGCUUUUCAGAAAUGGGUGGUAAAGUAAAUCCCACUUGAAGAACCGACAAGGAAAGAGUGGAAAUCCCAUGAAGACAACCAACUGACAUUAAGAGACAAUAAGAAAGAUUAUGUUUAUGUACUUAGAUGUGUGAAACAGUGCUGCCCUGUGAAAGCUAAUGAUAGCCAGACUUAUGUAUUUUGCAAGUAUUUCAUGAACAAAUUGUAUCCAUUUUUUUUUGCAUUGUAUGAGAUUCUUUUAUUAUUAAUAUUACACAACAACUAUUUCUUUUAA